GACGAACCGAGCGAACGUUGUUCGGAAUCACUGGGCUUAAAGGGCGCGUAGGCGGGCUGCCGCGUCCGGGGUGAAAUCCCACGGCUCAACCGUGGAACGGCCCCGGGUACGGGCGGCCUCGAGGAAGGUAGGGGCGUGUGGAACUGUGGGUGGAGCGGUGAAAUGCGUUGAGAUCCACAGGAACUCCGGUGGCGAAGGCGGCACGCUGGACCUUUUCUGACGCUGAGGCGCGAAAGCCAGGGGAGCGAACGGG
rnacentral:rRNA from 1 species